rnacentral:tRNA from 1 species
AAAUGCGUCGAGGAGGACCAGAACUGCUAAUUGCUUGUCCCUACGGUUCAACUCCGUAGCACAUUUA